GAUGAACGCUGGCGGCGUGCCUAAUACAUGCAAGUCGAGCGAACGGACGAGAAGCUUGCUUCUCUGAUGUUAGCGGCGGACGGGUGAGUAACACGUGGAUAACCUACCUAUAAGACUGGGAUAACUUCGGGAAACCGGAGCUAAUACCGGAUAAUAUUUUGAACCGCAUGGUUCAAAAGUGAAAGACGGUCUUGCUGUCACUUAUAGAUGGAUCCGCGCUGCAUUAGCUAGUUGGUAAGGUAACGGCUUACCAAGGCAACGAUGCAUAGCCGACCUGAGAGGGUGAUAGGCCACACGGGAGCGGAGACGCGGACCAGGCGACUGCGGGACGCAGCAGAAGGGAAUGGUCGGCAACGGGCGAGAGCCUGGCGGAGCAACCGGACGUGAGUGAUGAAAAUAUUGGGAUCGUAAAACCCUAUUAUUGGGGGAAAAAAGAUGUGUAAGGAAAUGAGCCCACAGUGACGGUACCGGGUCAGAAAGCCCCGGCUAACUACGUG
rnacentral:rRNA from 1 species